GGGGGAGAGGAGAAGGAGGAUUUUGUCCAGAGGUUGGGUGGGAAAGUAAUCCAAAUGCUCUAGUGAAGGUGCCAGGGCUAGUUCUAAAGAUGAGAAAAAUUUACUUCCCAAAGAGUGUUUAUGUUUCUCACAUUAAAAAAAAAAAAAAAAAAAAAAAGAUGAGAGUAAGAGCAAAAAAGGAGAAGAGGAAAACAAGGAAAUGGAGCUGUGCAGACCCUCUCUUUGUUUUAGGCUGUAUUUUUAGAGCAGCUUUCGAUUCACAGUAAAACCGAGAAGGUAGAGAGAUUUCUCAUAUCCUCCCUGCCCCCAUAUAUGCAUAGCAACCCCCGUUAUCAAUACCCCCCACCAGAGCAUGAAUUCAUUACAAUUCAUGAACCUUCACUGACAUGUCAUUGUCACCCAAAGAAAAUAUUUUUGACAUUAGGGUUCACUCUUGGUGUUGUACAUUCUAUGGGUUUGGGCAAAUGUAUCAUGACAUAGAUCCACAAUUACAGUAUCAUACAGAACAGUUUCACUGCCCUAAAAUUCCUUUGCAUUCCACCUGUUCAUCCUUCCCCCCUUCAUACCUAACCUUGGUAACCACUGAGAUUUUUACUCUCUAUAGUUGUGCCUUUUCCAGAAUGUCACAUAGUUGGAAUCAUGUAGUAUGUAAUCUUUUCAUACUGCCUUAUUUCACUUAGUCAUAUACUCCUGACCUCAAGCAGUCCUCCUGCCUCAGCCUCCCGAGUAGCUGGGACUACAGGUGCCUGCCACCACGCCUGGCUUCAUUUCAUCUUAAAGCUAAAUAAUAGUACAUUACCUGAAUGUGCCACAGUUUAUUAAUCCAUUCACCUACUGCAGGACAUCUUGGUUGCUCCCAGUUUGGGCAAUUAUGAACAAAGCUGCUAUGAACACCCAUGGACAGGUCUGUGUAUGGAUACCAAGGAGCACAAUUGCUGGAUCAUAUGCUAAGAGUACAUUUAGCUUUGCAAGAAACUGCCAAACUGCCUUCCAACAAGACUGUGCCAUUUUGCGUUCCCACCAGCAAUGAACGAGAAUUCCUGUUGCUCCACAUCCUUGCCAGCAUUUGGUGUUAUCAGUAUUCUGGAUUUGGGCCAUUCUACUAGGUGUGUAGUAGUUGUUGUUUUAAUUUGCAUUUCCCUGAUGACUUAAAAUGUGGGGCAUCUUUUCUUAUGCUUCUUUGCCAUCUGUAUGUCUUUGGUAAGGUGUCUGUUAAAGUCUUGGCUCAGUUUUAAUCAAAUUGUUUAUUUUGUUUGUGUUGAGUUUUAAGAGUUCUUUGUAUAUUUUAGACAAGAGUCCUUUGUCGUGUAUAUCUUCUGCAAAUAUUUUCUCCCAGUCUGUGGUUUGUCUUUUAUUCCUCUUGAUCUGCUUGGUCUUUUCCACUGUGACACUUUUCUUCUUUUCUUUCUUUAUUAUCACUAUAGAAAAGUAAAAUAUUGGGAGACUUCCUAGCUCAGGAUCACUUUUAGAAGAAAGGGAGCUUUGAGAAAGGGAGGGAAAGAGAAAGUUAUUAGGGAUCAUAGGGCUCUGUGCAGGAGGCAAAGGGCAGGUGAAAGCCAGAGAGGGGGGUCUGGACAGUGGGCAACACAGAAGCUCUGGACUCCUGAGAGGCAGAAGAAAGAAGAUGCCGGAAGUUGGAGAAGAUCUGAAUGCUGGGGAGGAGGAAUCUAAGAACAGCUUUACUUUGAAAUUUUCCUCUGCUGUUGGACUGUCUCCUUCUGGCUAUCAUAGAUUUUAAAAGAGAGUCGAUUUUUUAAAGGCGAGUUAUGAAAUCAUUUCUACCACAUCUUUCCUGUAACACACAAGCUGCAAUUCUUCCCCAUUUGUACUGACAAAUAAAUAGUGCUGGGGGAGGCUGGAGGGUUGGGGGUCACCUCCAGCCAUUCUUGCCUCGGUGUGAGGUGCUAGAAAGGCAAGCUGAUGACGUGGCUUUCCUGGGGGCCAUGGGGACUUUGAUUCAUGCAUAGAUGGCCUUCCCUUAAAUUUCAUUUUCUGGCUUACUAUUAACAAACAUCCUGGCCGGGCAUGGUGGCUCACGCCUGUAAUCUGAGCACUUUGGGAGGCUUAGGCGGGCGGAUCACCUGAGGUUGGGAGUUUGAGAUCAGCCUGACCAACAUGGAGAAACCCCGUUUCUACUAAAAAUACAAAAAUUAGCCAGGUGUGGUGGCGCGUGCCUGUAAUCGGGAGGCUGAGGCAGGAGAAUCUCUUGAACCUAGGCAGAUGUUUUGGUGAGCUGAGAUCGUGCCAUUGCACUCCAGCCUGGGCAACAAGAGCGAAACUCUAUCUCAAAAAAGAAAAGAAAGAAAGAAAGAAAGAAACAUCCUGAAAGAGAAGCCAGCACAGUUUACUUACCUUUUCGUUUCCAUGCUGGGGCAUCCUCUCCCCAGAGAGUGGAAGGGCCUCGGCCUCGAGGAUCUGGAGAACAGCAGCUGUGCGGCAGGACUGGGCUCGCCUCCACAGACCCCAGAAGUGCAGAGUGUGCCCCUGUGAGAGGCACACUAACUGCGGUUAUGUGAGUGAACCGAUGGUCAUUUAGGACUGAGAGGCAACAGCACAGUAAAGAUUCUGCCUAUCAUUCUAUGUGUGUCAGAUGAAGUUGACUGUAAGCUUUAUUUCAUUACAACUGUACAUUUCCUCUGUCUCAGGCUUUGUCAACUCAGACUUCAGUUACCUUUUUCUCACGUCUCCAUCCCAGAGCCCCAUGGAGAGGAGUGAGAGCGUGGCUUCCCGAGGGCUUUCCUUCCUCCUCCCCUCUGCCUCCCCAGAUUUGGUCUGACAAAGCUUCUUUCUAGGGUCCUGUUAUUUGGGGUCUCGCUGAUGUCAGCAGAGGCCGGCCCCCUUUGUUGCACUGCUCCCUCUGGCCUGAGAAUGGGAGCUGCAGGAUCCCAAGAGCCCUUUAUUUUCUGGGCGGUUCCCUGAAGCUGCUUCUCUCCUUGCAGGUGUCUCUCUGUGCUCAGCCCUCCCUCUGGGGAGGCUGAGUUGUCACUUCCCCAUCAGAGGAAGACAAUCUGUCUCUGACCAGUGUCCUGGCUAAGAUGGGGCCCCGGUGGAGGUGUGUGAGCAGAUGACUCAGAGACUCUUCUUCAUAUUAAAAUAUUCCAGUAAUUAUGUCAGGGCCGAUCCGGCUCACGCAUGGCACUUUACAAAAGAUACACAAAUCGUGGCCCAGUAGGCUCUGGGCCAGAACACACGCAAGGCACCGGCGUGCUCCACAGCACCGCGGGCGGAUCAGAGCAUCUCCAGCCUGUCAAAGACCCACUCCUCUGUAUCUCUCCACGGGAGACAAGCCAUUUGCCGGAGCCACAUAAUGGAGCAUUCAGCCUUUGAAUUGCCACUUCUCUGAAGACUCUACAGGGCUAUGAGGGUGACUGCCUCAGGCCGGGAGGAAGGGAGGAAGAAGCAGAGGAAACAGAGACCCAGGGACACGCAGGAGACGAUGCCUUAUGCCAACUGAGGCCGAGAGUGGAGUGACAUCUAUAAGCCACGGCACACUGGCCACCGCCGGAAGCUGCAAGAGGCAAGGCAGCUUCCUCCCCCCGGAGCCGUCAGAGAGCGCAAGGCCCUGCCCGCGCCUUGAUUUCAGACUCCAGCCUCCAGAACGUGAGACAACUUUCUGUUGUUUUUACCUCCACCCCCUCUCCAGUUUGUGUCACUUUGUUAAGGCAGCCCUAGGAAAUGAAUACUCCCUCCCACCCACUUCUCUUUGCCUCCACUCUGCUGGAGUGCCGGGCCUGGAUGGGGAACAGGCCUGGCAGGGUUGCCCCUGGGACUACCCAGGGUAGCCUGACUGAGCACCUAUGUAGGCAAAGAAAACAGAAGAAAACAAAACAAGACAUCUGGUAAAAUUUGAAUUUCAGAUCAACAACAAAUUAACUUUUUU
rnacentral:lncRNA from 10 species